rnacentral:lncRNA from 1 species
GCAGCCGAGCCUCACCACAGCAGUUCCACUAGAAAGAGCUAGAGAUUGGUGGAGGCUGGGAGAAGUGAUUCUCCAGUCAGGAUUGGGUGAGAACGUGAGCAAGAUCACACACAGAGCACAAGCCUUUGCACUCUUAGUCCAGACAUGGUUACACUUCACUUGGCUAGGAUGAGACCGAGUCUCAGGGGACCAAAGGCCACAUGAGGGCCCAAGGAGAAGAUGUAGCAGCAGCAGUGUUAACCUGAACCAGUAGUUCUCAGCCAGGAGUAAUUUUGCCCUUGGGGGAACUUUGGUAAUGUCUGGAGGCAUUUUGGGCUGUCACAAAUGAAGGUGCUACUGGCAUCACACAGGUGGAAGCCAGGGAAGCUGCCAAACAUCCUACAAGGCAUAGGACAGUCCCCUUCCGCCACAUCAAGAAUUAUCCAUCUCCAAUUUCCAAUGUGCUGCU